rnacentral:miRNA from 1 species
GAUUGAGGAUGAUGAUGAUGAUGAUGAUGAUGCGUAUUAUGUGUAUGUCUAUCUUUUUCGUAAAAUGCAUCAUCAUCAUCAUUAUCAACAUCA